GUGCUAACAUACCCAGCAUUCAAAAACUCCAAAAGCUUGUGUAUUAAGUAUACACUAUCCAGAAAAUUUCACAUGCUUUCUGCUUCAGGAAAGAAAUAUUAAAGCUCUACGAUGGUGAAGUUCAUUACAAUUUCCAAAAGCAAAAGGAUCACUGAUUACUUAAGAAGCAACGCUUCCUUUAAACUCCAGUACAGGAGGUAAAUGUUAAACGCUAGCAAAUCUUUUGAGAAGCAUUAAAAAAGGUUUUCGUUACAUCACAGGUAUACUUAAUCAUAACGUCAAAGCCUCUAAAACAAAAACUCUGUGCACGCACUUCAGGAGUUUUUCCCACGUGCCGCGAAAGAAGGGAGCCUAGGUGUCUGGAGAGAUCCUCUGCACCCAGCACUCGGCGACUGGCAGCGGGCAUUUCAGCACCUGCUAAAGCCCGCUGGGCAGCUUGGCAGCGCCAGGCGCGGGGCUGCGGGGACACGGCCCGCCCGCGCGCAGGGCACAGCGAGCACGUGAGCGCAGAGCCAGCUCCGGAGCGCUACGGCGCGCGUGGCGGCACACCUGCUCCCCGAGGCUGAUCGUUAACAGCCGUGGGCAGGGGUUGGGCCAGGGUACAGCUGUCAGGACCUCACUGGACAGGACCGGAGAGGACCCCGCGUAACCGCGGAACAGACACUCCCGGCAGCGGCCGCCGCCGCGGCACUGCUACGGGACGAGCCGGAGCGCUUGGCCAUGGCGGCCCGAUCCGCACUGGCGCUGCUGCUGCUGCUGCCAGUCCUGCUCCUGCCGGUGCAGAGCCGCUCAGAGCCCGAGACCACCGCGCCCACCCCUACCCCAAUCCCGGGUGGCAACUCGUCAGUGAGCAGGCCCCUGCCCAGCAUCGAGCUCCACGCCUGCGGCCCAUACCCCAAACCAGGCCUGCUCAUCCUGCUGGCCCCGCUGGCCCUGUGGCCCAUUCUCCUGUAGGGACGCCCAGCCAGCCACCUCUAAGUCGCCGCUGGGACUGGCCUGCCCCAUUGAGCAACAGAGACGCUUGACAGCCGCCCGCCUCCAUUCCUUGACUUCACCCAGAAAUGGGUCCAGAAAACUGAAUCCCACCAGCACUGGUUUGGAGCAACCGGACACCGAGGUUUCACCUCCAGGGAUUCCAUGAAGAGCCUCAAUGGAGAUGCCACAUCCUACUGAGUUAAAGAUGGGCUGAGGAACUUGGGUACCCACAAGUCUGCCUUGGGAAUCAAAAGAAAAUAUUUACCUUUAGUUUGGUUCAUUAAAUGCAUGAAGUCAAAAUAUGACCAGAGACACCCCUUCCUGCCUCACCACCUCUCAGCUGGAACGUCAGGCUGGAGACAUGACCCAAGGAGCCAAGCCCGAGAAGGAAACGUGCACCCUGAAACAGCGGGAUGCAGAACCCUGAAACAGCGGGAUGCAGAACCCUGAAACAGCAGGAUGCAGAACCCUGAAACAGCGGGAUGGAGAGACAGAAGCCUCGGGAAACGUGGACGACAAUGAGAACAAUAAUAAGGAAAAAGUUAACUUUUGACUAAAGCCGAAUUCCUGAUUCUAAGAUUUAAAGGUCACCUACCAGGAUUAAGAUUUGGUCCUCACAACUGUUACCUGAAGGUAAGAGUAAAUUCCAAUGGUAUAACUAUAUAAAAAAAAUAGAUAACAGAUAUUUCCAUAAAAAUUGUUUAUGUUCAUUUUUAAAAUCUCUCUCAUCAAACAGUUGUAAUGCAGUAGAGAGAAUGAGAAGAGAGAGAGGUCAGAAAGUCACCCAGUAAACAAAAGGACCACAGAUUUUUCUCCAUCCUCAACAGAGAUUCCAGUUGAUGAAGAAGGCUGCCAUGCAGGCUCAGGGCAAGGAAAGGGAAUGUGCUGCUAGCACUGGACCUCAGCUCCGGGCAAGGCUGCACCUUCUGAACCGACGGCCCAGGAGCGAAGUGACCCAUACUUCCUCCAAAGCAUCACUCUCCAGACAUGGUAAUCCAGGCCCAGAAGCAAAGGUCAGUCCCACUGUGCCUGUCACACACUCUGCUCCUCUACACCCUCCUCUAGGAAAUGAAAGAGGAAGGAUGUUGAUCUCUAGGGUCUUUUAAAUUGUUCCAAAUAAAUAAAAUAGAAUUAUUUUCUCUUACUAAAAAUAAAACACUGAUUUUCAUAUUAAAGACAAAUUAAUUUUGCAAAGGAUUAAAAAAGCAGAAAUCCAAAUCAGUUUAGCAGAAAGAUGAACAGAUGGAUUUCUGAGGUCCACUGGCCUGCAUCCAAAUUUCGCAGCCUAGCCCACGGUUAAACUCGAUCUGGAGUCUUCCAGCUCCUCCUCCUACAGGGAAACCCCCACUCUCCCUGGACUGUGGUCCACAGGAGAACAAGGAGCUCUACUCCACAGGACACCAGAGCAUGAGCAAACAUGUGGCAAUGCUGUAGGAUGCUGGUGACCAGGAUCCUGCCCCUGGGAGCCACUAAGCUGCCAGAAGACACAGUCACCCAGGCAAGGCUGUGAAUAGCACCCCAUAUCCCUAUUGCUCUCCCUCUGAGCCAUAGACAGAGAUCAUGCUGGUGGGGAAUAAGGUCUCAUGAUGUCCAGAACUAUAGCAGAAAACUGUAAGCUGAUCUCCUGCUCCUCAUUAAGUGAUGACAGUUCACACAACACAAAAAGUGCCAUUUCACCAAACUGUAGUAUUACAACACUUUCAUCAUUAACCUUUCUAAAGUAAAAAUCAUCAGAUUCAAGUCUUCUGUUUUUUCAUCAUAAGAAUUCAAUAAAAGCAGAAAUAAUUAUAUAAGCAGUUAAGCCAAACGUCAACUAGCAUUGAAGCAGUGGAAGAAAUCGGAUUGAUUUAGAGUUGAUUUAAGAUAAUACCAGGGGCAAAGACAAGUGGAUGUCUGAGUUAGGGGAAAAUUGGCAAGGACGGUCAAAUAGAAAAAACACGUGACUUAAAGACAUAGCAGAACAUAUGCUCUGUGAAGAAAGGGACUGAGUUAUUUCAUUCACUGCUAAACCUUUGGUAUCCAAAGUGCUCAAAAAAUAUUUAUUCAAUGACUGCAUAAACACAUGAAUGAAAAAUGUCAGUUUAUAUGAAGUUGAUGAACUUCAUGAAUAUAACAUGGCAGCAAUGCCCAACAUUUAAGAAAGGUUAUCACAGAACCUACAUUGUUUAAUAAAGCCAGUGCCACAAUAAUAAUCAGAUGCUCAAUUUUUCAAUAAAAAUCAUUACAAACCCUGCAUUUCGCUAUCUACAAAUGAGGUGGCCAAGGCAGUUCUUGGGGGGAAAACGUAGAGCUGCAUGUGCACAGAAGAGAAAACAAGGAUGACGUGAAAAUAAACAAGGUAUUCAAUCCCCAAGUGAGAACAAAGGUGGAGAGAGGUCAGAACCGGGGUCCUCCUGGGGAGGGUAGGAGUGCUGAGCUGCACAGGUACCAGGAAGCCUCCGGGUUGAUCCCAGUGAUGGUUGUGUGAGUGCACACAGAUAUGAGAGUCACCAGGCUGCACACUCAGGCCCCACUGGUAUACUUAUACCUGUUCAUGAGAGAAGACUGUCACAUUUUCAGGAAUUUUGUAAACCAGUUGACAGCUCAUCGGUAGCUUGAAAUAGGGCACGGUAGGGACAUUUAUAACUUGGAAAUUGGCAAAUGCUACAAAUCAGGGGUUUCCAUACACUCCCACUCCUCCUUCCCACCAAAAGCCAGGUGUUAA
rnacentral:lncRNA from 1 species